AUGGCUCAUGGCGAUCAUCAAAUUGAUGAUGAUGAUUUCAUGAAUCCACCACAGCGCAAUCGGGCAACUGGACAGAGAAAAGAGGGUGAUGAGAAGAAGAAACGUAUUCGCAACAGAGCCUCCCAAGAACGACUAACUGUGUUGACUGACAAAUUCACCAACGAUCAGAAGGGAGCUGCUGCUGAGAUGGGUAUGCAGGCUCUGAUGGAUGUCCGGUGCAUGAACCUUGUCAACCCUGUAUGCGACUGGCUUGGUGAGAUCUACCACCCCGCCUCCAGGGAAUUCGUGAUUCCGGGACGAGGAAGACUACCGUUGAACGAGAAAUCCGUGUUCUGUACUUUGGGUGUGCCUCGUGGACAUAUCAAAGUCCCGUACGAGCUCAAUAAUGAGAAAGAGGAAGUGUUGUUCCCCUGUUUGUUUCCUAGUUUGGAAUCCAUGCCGAACACAUCUGCACUGGCAGAUUCGCUGCAGGCCAUGACGACGCAUGGAGAUGUUUUCAAGAUGAAGCUACUCAUGCACCUCAUCUCAGCUGUUUUCGCGCCGACCACUUCUCUUCGCCCAAGCAACAAAUGCUUCCCCAUCUUGGCGGAUCUGAAAAAUGUGAAGAACAUGAAUUGGUGUAAGUUUCUUGCCGACUUCCUGCACAAUGCAUUCUCAAGCAAGAUGUACCAAAAGGGUUGUCGACUGCAUUUAAUGCUCAUGUAUGUCGACUGUCUUGAUCUGUCCACCGUGGAUUUCACUAGGAUAGGAGGCCCGCCGCCUACGCACAAGUUUGCUGUUUCUGCAUGGACUAUCAACGCUGUCAAGGCUGUGCUUGCCGCAGACAGGGUAACUGAUGCCAAAUAUGGAAAACUGUAG
rnacentral:rRNA from 1 species